rnacentral:RNase_P_RNA from 1 species
GGUGGCCGGAUAGCUGCGCCGCGGAAAGGAAAAUCCGUUGGUGAGGAAAGUCCGGGCUUCAAGGGAACAAGACACCAGAUAACGUCUGGCUGGAGAAAUCCAAGGGAAAGUGCCGCAGAAAAUUACCGCCGGAAUGUUUUCCGGUAAGGUUGAAAAGGUGAGGUAAGAGCUUACCGCGCAGGCAGCAAUGUCUGUGGUCAAGGUAAACCCUGUCUGAAGCAAGACCAAGUUAGGAGAGCUUCUUUUUUUAGAAGUUAUAGGGAGAGUUCCUAAUCCGCUCCAGAGGUAGGUCGCGUUGAGCUGCUUAGCGAUAAUCAGCCUAGAUGAAUAGCUAUCGCUUCUGCUUUUGCUUUGGCAAAACUACUGAAGCACAGAACCCGGCUUAUAGGCCGCCUG